rnacentral:rRNA from 1 species
GCCAAACCAAACUCCGCGCAUCACCUUCUCUGACUCAUGGGGCCCUCUCCGUCGCCGCCGCAGCCGCUUCCGGCGACCGGCCGCCUCCUCGUGCUCUACGCGUCGCAGACCGGCAACGCCAUGGACGCCGCCGAACGUGUUGGGCGCGAGGCCGAGCGCGGUGGCUGCCCGGCCGUCGACGUCCUCUCCAUGGACAGCUUCGACCCCAGUUGCCUGCCGGGCGAAAGGUCCGUGGUGUUCGUCGUGUCCACCACGGGGCAGGGCGAUCCCCCGGAUUCCAUGAAGGCAAGGGAAAUUGGAAAUACAUUUUUGCUUGCAAGUUUGUCGAUCUUGGUUUGCUAAUUGAGUUUUUUUUUUCACAAUGGGUUUCGCACGUGACAGGGGUUUUGGAGGUACCUUCUUAAGAAGGACCUUGGUGCCAGGUGGCUGGAAGGGCUCCGUUUUGCCGUAUUUGGGCUCGGGGAUUCGGGCUACCAGAAGUACAAUUUACCUGCAAAGAAGAUCGAUAGAAGGCUUUUGCAACUUGGUGCAGAAAUAAUCAUAGAUGUAGGCUUGGGAGAUGAUCAACACCCUUCAGGAUAUGAAGGAGCUCUAGAUCCUUCGUUGCUGUCUUUGUGGGAAUCACUGAAUAAAGCAAAUCCGUCACUUCUACCAAGAAUAACUGAUAUCAUUAAUCCUAAUUUGAAUUAUUUGGGGGAGGCAAAGAUUGAAGUCAUAUAUUACUCUUGCAAUGAUGCCCCUCCAGAUUCCAUUGUUUCAGACUCCACGAAAUUAAUCAAGAGAGCACGCUUAAUGUCCCCUGCUCUGAAGUUCCAUAGUGAUGGAGAGCCACAAUACAUGUUAAAGAUGGUAACAAAUCAGCGUUUGACUAAGGAGGAUUAUGAGAAAGAUGUGCGCCACUUUGAAUUGGAAGAUCCAUCUUCUGCGAUCAGCUAUCAAGUUGGCGAUGCGUUAGAAAUUCUACCGAGUCAGAAUCCAUCAGCUGUUAAUGCUUUCAUUGAACACUGUAACUUGGAUCCAGAUUGUUACAUAAUGAUUAGAGCAAAGGGAGGGGAUGAAGUUCCCAACGGUUCACUUCUGAAUGGGUCGAUGGGUUGCAUCAAGUUAAGCACCUUUGUUGCUUUGACAAUGGAUGUUGCAUCAGCUUCCCCUCGUCGGUAUUUCUUUGAGAUCAUGAGCCAUUUUGCAACAGCUGAACAUGAAAAGGAAAGGCUUCAGUAUUUUGCUUCUCCUGAAGGUAGAGAUGACCUCUACCAGUACAAUCAAAAGGAGAGUCGGACUGUUCUAGAAGUAUUGGAGGAUUUUCCCUCGGUGCACAUGCCUUUUGAAUGGCUGGUGCAACUAACUCCUCCAUUGAAGAAACGGGCCUUUUCCAUAUCAUCAUCGCCAUUAGUACAUCCAAAUCAGAUACACUUGACUGUUAGUAUUGUAUCAUGGCUUACUCCUUUCAAGAGGAAAAGGCAGGGUCUCUGCUCCACAUGGCUGGCAGGUCUCAGUCCAAAUGAAGAAAAUCUUAUACCAUGUUGGGUACACAAAGGAUCCCUGCCUCCUCCAAAGCCAUCGAUUCCUCUUGUACUUAUUGGACCAGGAACAGGAUGUGCACCAUUUCGAGCAUUUGUGGAGGAAAGGGCUGCACAGAGUGCGAGAGAAUCAACAGCUCCCAUUCUGUUCUUUUUCGGCUGUGGAAAUGAAGCCAACGAUUUUCUAUACAAGGACUUCUGGUUGAAGCAUGCCCAGGACAAGGGAGUGCUGUCCCUGAAAGAAGGCGGUGGUUUCUUUGUUGCUUUUUCCAGGGAUCAGCCUCAAAAGGUCUAUGUACAACACAAGAUAAAAGGGCAGAGUGCAAGAGUGUGGAACAUAUUAUGCUCUGGGGCUGCAAUAUACGUUGCAGGGUCUUCUACCAAAAUGCCUGCUGAUGUUACAGCUGCACUAGAAGAAGUUAUCCGCCAAAAGGGCGGUGAGGCUGCUUCAGGAUGGCUCAGGAAACUGGAAAGGGCUGGUAAAUUUAACAUUGAAACUUGGUCGUGAUUUUUCAGUCAAACAGGGCAAGAAAGUAUGUAUGAACAAUCAGUCGUGCUCCGCGAUUAUUUAUGGGGUAGCAAUUCAGCGUAGAUCAAAGAUUUCAAGAAAGUAGAUGUAUAUCUGCACAUAAAUACAGAUAAACAGUCAUUUAUUCUUCGACAGAAAAAAUCACAAGGGAAAUCAAACACAUUCCCUGUUUCACUGUUGUAUCUGUACUCGGGACGAUGUAGGUUUGGUUCAAUGAUGAAGAGUGGCGGCUUGAUUUUACGAAGUGGGAUAAAAACAAGUGAAAUCAGUGUGAUUUCUCCGGGGAUGGUUCGUCCCGCUGCUGCUCGGUCUGGCCGACGCCGUCGGGGCCGCCCUCCUGGGAUUUGGGCUGCCGUCAUUGCCCGUGUGCGCCGCGCUGGUGGCCGUGUUUCUUCGGAUUUUUCCUCGACGACGGCUGAUGCUGCUGCGCGUGGCCGUCCGGCUGUAGUUGAUUCAGCAUGUCGUCUUCAGUCCGGUCCUCGCCGGCCGUUUCGUUCUUCCUGGAAUGGUAUUCACCGAUUGGACUCGCGUCAGGAUGUUAAUGUGCCCGUUGAUAGUUGCCGUCGGGAGAUUUUAUUAGGGAAGCGGCCUGUAGAUUUCACCAUUGGUAUUCCUAUUAGUGUGGGCUCUUCUUCAGCGGUUGCCGGGUCUGCUCCGGCUGUUUGGCCUGCCAGUGAGCGAACUGAUACUUUAUCUGUCCAAGUGGUUGACAGACCGCGUGUUUCUCCUUCUGGUUUUCCUGCUGCUGUCCAUCUUUAUGAGUCUUUGGUUGGUGCUACGUCUCUUCGUGCCGUCCAAGAGUGGUGCCCUUAUGUGCUGCUGGUGCCUUCGGUCGGCCUACUCCUCUUGUUAUGCCUACCCCUGUUAUGGAGCACUUUCGUGUUCUGCGUGCUCGCCGUAAGCGGACGUUGGUGCGAUCAUACUAGUCCGGCUGGAAAAGAGUACGUGGGAUGCAGCCUCCGUUUCCUAAGGAUUAUAUCCAGCUGCUUAAGGCUACUUUUAAGGGGGCGUUCAUAUUAUGGUGGACCGGAUUUGUGUUGCCGGAAAUGUGGGGCCUUCUUUUGGUUCCGCGAAGGAUCUAUUCACCAUGCUGACGCGACUACUCGCUGUCUUGUUUACACGGGUUGUUGUCGGACGGGCAGGAUUUCGUUGCCAAAAUUUGGUGACUGGCCUUCUCCUUUGGAUAGGCUGAUGCGUUUUGAUGGUGACGCGGUUUCCUCUCGGUUCAUGCGAUUAAUACGGCAGUAUAAUUCCAUGUUUUGUUUUACAUCGUUGGGUGCACAGGUUGAUCAUAGUAUUAAUGUUGGAGGUGCUCCAUAUGUUUUCAAGAUGAAUGGGGUGGUCUACCAUCGUAUUGGUUCGUUGCUGCCGGCUGAGGGUGCACCUCCCAAGUUCGCGCAAUUGUACAUGGUCGAUUCUGCUGACGAGUUGGACUGUAGGUUGAAUGUGUUUGACAGAUGA